UGCCAUGAGUAUAUCGUUUCUGCUCCUGAUUUUCGCCUAUGCAGCAGGCACCUGACUAGUCAAACUCAAACACUGAGGCCCCCCCAGUCCUGCCCAUGCUUCGCUAUAUGCACUGCAAAUUAUCCCAGGGAACUAGACAGACGACUGACAGCCUGCAGAGUACUGCUUGGGAGCCAGGCAAGUGGGGAGCGGGCCUUGAGAAAUUACAGCAGGAUUGAAUUGACUGGGCUGGGGAUCAGCAGCUGCUAUUUAUGUGGAGGUGAAUGGAGAAUGGCAAUGGGGGAACUGAUAUGGCCAGGAGGCGAGUGGAGACUGUGUUAGGGUUGGAGAUUUCGGCCUCAUGAGGGUCCUUAUACAAACACUAAUAGCAGGGUUUGUAAUGACCUCCGAAAACUCUUCCCCAGCCCCCAUCAGUUCACUGGAUAGUAAAGAGCUGCAUACCUGCUGUAGAGGGUCCCUAGUCUGUAGACUCCUCUUCCUGCCAGACUUGCUUAACCGCUGUCUCUUCUGCUGUGUCUGAAUCCUGGUCCCCUCAAAGAGAUCAAGUGUCUCAGGCAUCUCCCAGUCUGGACCUGUCCCGCUGGCCUGCUCAGGACAGGGUGCUAGUGUUCUCCAGCUCAGCCCUCAGAAUUGCACCCUGAGAGACUACAGACUGUGCAGAAGGGAAAGUGCCUAGAAUUCAGUCCUGCUCUUUGUCAAAAAGCUACGUUUUCUGCCUUGAUCUGGGCCUAUUGUUGUGUCCCAGGCCCUGUUAUACUGGAUGCACCUUCAGUCUUUUGGCCUUCUCGUGGCACCUGCUUGCCACUCCAAGCAAUGCCCACCUCAGCCAGUCACUCAGACCACUAGAGCAUUGCAAGCAACUGAGCAGAGCUGGCCCAGGAUCUCCUCAUCUCCUAGAAGAGGGACACCAAUGCUUGAGCGUUGGCCUCGGGCGAGCUGGCAGCAUGCUCCUAGGAAGGCUCCCCCCUCAGCCAUGCUGGAGACAGAAGUAGAAUGAAGCUGAAGAAGCUGGGUUUGGGGAGUAGGUCGCACAGCUGAGCUCCAUGGUGCGUGCCGUAUUAUUAGAACAUUAAGUGGCUUCUGGCUAGCUUGGCCCCUGUGCGGCUUGUAGAACACACAGGCCAGAUGAACCCAGGAACUAUUCACACCACGGCUCUAUUAUACCUGUGCUUUCUGACCACUCUGGUACUGCAUUGGCAGAGACUGGCAUGGUGGAGUACCACAUGGCCAUUAGCUUUCCUUGAAGCAUGUCUACAAAUUCAAGUGUGAAUGCCUGUGUGUGGAUGUAAGGUGCUACAGGCAUUCUAAGGGGAGCACACAGUGCCUAGCAUGCCAGAUUUUUCUAAUAUACUGCAAGGUUUUUGACAUUACCCUAAGGAACCUUCCAGAUUCUAUGAGCUGGGACCCCAGUGGAAGUACUGUAGAUACCUCUACCAGCUACAUCUUAUUGAAAUACCAAACGUAUCUUUCACACCUAACCACCACAGCGAUAGAUAAGGACAUAGAGCAGCGUUUACCUUCAAGGUGGCCCCUAGCGACCUCAGUCCAGUUGAAUGCCGAGCCAGCUUCAGCACCCGGAAUAUCCUCAUGAGCCGGAACACCUGCACCACCUUGCCCAGGUUCCCCAGCUCUGAGUCACUGCCCAGAGUCACAUCCACCAAGAGGGUGAUGUAAAAAGGCAGCACUGAGACAAUGUCAAUCAGGUUCAGCGGGUGCUUGAAGAACUUCUUCAGGUUGGGCGCAAGAAGCAAGCGGGAGGACACUUCAAAGGUGAACCAGGCGAUACAGAAAUACUCCAGAUUGUGCAGGACAGGAUCAUCUAGCAAGUUGUCAUCCUCAUCCAGUACCUGGUACUCGGGCAUGCUGUGGAUGCACAUGGUGGCUAUGGAGACGAGCACCACACUGAUGGACACAAAGCUGAAGAGUUUGCUGGGGAUGGAGUAGCCUGGGUUCUCCAUGGUGAGCCAGAGGCGCUUACGCAAGGUGCCGCAGCGCAGAGUGCUGUAGCGGAGCAGGUCGUGGUUGAAGUCAGAGAUCUCGUCAGGGGAUGUGUCCACGCUGCUGACCUCGCUCUCCUCGUCCCAGUUGUAGUGCCGGCUCUCCAGCUUACGCUCAUGGUAGCGGUAGCUGCAGCAGGAGUCCAGGAAGAACUCGUUGAUGCCCCAGUACUCUAUUUCCUGGCAGAAGGAGAAAACGCACAGCUCAUCCAUGACAUGCAGCUUCCCGGUCUGGUAGAAGUGCAGCACAUAUAGGAAGAAGCCUGGGUUUCUAUCAAAGUAGAACUCCCUGGCGCUCACAUCGUAGUCAUCACAGAGCUGCAGGAUGGACUCCUCAGAGUCGCAGGAUAGCAAACGCCCCAGACGGGUGUUGGGGAAUUUAGAGAGCGCACUGGAGCUGAGCCUUCUUCGCAGACCCCCAACGUUAAUGUUGAUGACAUCGUCCUCAAAAUCAGGAUCCCAGUAGUUUAAGGUUUUGUUGACCAUGAUCAGUGCAGCUGCUGCUGGUUCAGCCUGUAGAUAAUACACAGUGCAGUUGAAGUAAAGAGGUACAGUCUCUUUAUACAGUGGUCUUAAAAAAUAAAGUACAGUUCAUCUAAAAGUCAUGGGCUAGAUA